UUCAACUUUACAACGGAGGAUAGGAAUGAUGGAGCCAUGUUUCCUGAAACUAUCCCAUCAAUACUCCUGCAUGCGUCAUGAUUGACUGGUCAUAGGGUGUGAAGCACAGGUAGAUUCGGUUGAACGAAGGCUGAAGCCAUUCUUAUGAAAAAGGUAUGCCGAAGGAUAGACCGCAUAGCUGAAAA
rnacentral:ncRNA from 1 species